CCUACGGGUGGCAGCAGUGAGGAAUAUUGGUCAAUGGGCGCGAGCCUGAACCAGCCAAGUAGCGUGAAGGAUGACUGCCCUAUGGGUUGUAAACUUCUUUUAUAAAGGAAUAAAGUGAGGCACGUGUGCCUUUCUGAAUGUACUUUAUGAAUAAGGAUCGGCUAACUCCGUGCCAGCAGCCGCGGUAAUACGGAGGAUGCGAGCGUUAUCCGGAUUUAUUGGGUUUAAAGGGAGCGUAGAUGGGUGGAUAAGUCAGUUGUGAAAGUUUGCGGCUCAACCGUAAAAUUGCAAUUGAUACUGGCAGUCUUGAGUACAGUUGAGGUAGGCGGAAUGCGUGGUGUAGCGGUGAAAUGCGUAGAUAUCACGAAGAACUCCGAUUGCGAAGGCAGCUUACUAAACUGCCACUGACGUUGAUGCACGAAAGUGUGGGUAUCAAACAGGAUUAGAUACCCCAGUAGUC
rnacentral:rRNA from 1 species